rnacentral:rRNA from 1 species
UACGUAGGGUGCAAGCGUUGUCCGGAAUUAUUGGGCGUAAAGAGCGUGUAGGCGGUCCGGUAAGUCAGCUGUGAAAGUCAAGGGCUCAACCCUUGAAAGCCGGUUGAUACUGUCGGGCUAGAGUCCGGAAGAGGCGAGUGGAAUUCCUAGUGUAGAGGUGAAAUUCGUAGAUAUUAGGAAGAACACCAGUGGCGAAGGCGGCUCACUGGCCCGGUACUGACGCUGAUGUGCGAAAGCGUGGGGAGCAAACAGG